GAUCUCACAGUAAUUGUAGAACCAAAUCUUCAGUUGUCCCUUGACUAGAAUUAAGAGGUUAGUCCUCCAUUAAUGGAGAACAACCAUGCGAAGGAGCCAAGAAAGAAAAAGAAGAACUAAAACUAUGCUAAAAGCUGUCACCGUAGCCUUUCUUACAAUUGUCUUUAUAUAGCCAAAGGGAAGAUGACUAAAGCUAUCUAUCCAGUGGUCCCCACAAAUACUAAACAAAAACAACUCUCAAAGCUUCCUACGUUUCUUUCCUUCCAAAGUCCAAUGACUAAUGCCUUUCUUUUUUCCGUGGUCCCCGCCGCAUAAGUCAACAAAGGGUACCAAAAGGGUCAGGCCCUACUCAAUGCUUCCUCCUUUCCGUAUGCUAUUCUUAGUAGAACUCUUAGUACCAAGCAAUUCUUCAUCAGCCAAAGAAACGAAAAAUCCGUUUCUUCCUUCCUUGUGGGCCAGGUCUAUUGAGCUUUUAGGAGUCUCAAUUUCCUACAAAAAGUCCCUCCUUUUUUGUAGUUUUCUGCUCCAUUCCCUGAAAUUAAGUCCCAAUACCAAAUAUAAGUAAAUAUUAAUAAUUAACACAAUAUUUGCCAAGGACAAAGGGGAAAUUAAUAAUAAAAUAACCAACAAUUAACACCCUAUCAA
rnacentral:lncRNA from 1 species